rnacentral:rRNA from 1 species
UACGAAGGGUGCAAGCGUUGUUCGGAAUUACUGGGCGUAAAGCGCGCGUAGGCGGCUUUAUAAGUUGGGAGUGAAAUCCCGGGGCUUAACUCCGGAAUUGCUUUCAAAACUAUAAAGCUAGAGUAUGGCAGGGGACAGUGGAAUUCCUAGUGUAGAGGUGAAAUUCGUAGAUAUUAGGAGGAACACCAGUGGCGAAAGCGACUGUCUGGACCAUUACUGACGCUGAGGCGCGAAAGCGUGGGGAGCAAACAGGAUUAGAUACCCUGGUAGUCCACGCCGUAAACGAUGGGUGCUAGAUAUUGGGGCUUAAGCCUCAGUGUCGUAGCUAACGCGUUAAGCACCCCGCCUGGGGAGUACGGUCGCAAGAUUA